rnacentral:rRNA from 1 species
GAGGAAUAUUGGACAAUGGGCGCAAGCCUGAUCCAGCCAUGCCGCGUGCAGGAUGAAGCAUCUAUGGUGUGUAAACUGCUUUUGUACGAGAAGAAACAUCCCGACGUGUCGGGACUUGACGGUAUCGUAAGAAUAAGGACCGGCUAACUCCGUGCCAGCAGCCGCGGUAAUACGGAGGGUCCAAGCGUUAUCCGGAAUCAUUGGGUUUAAAGGGUCCGUAGGCGGUCUUAUAAGUCAGUGGUGAAAUCUCCCCGCUCAACGGGGAAACGGCCAUUGAUACUGUAGGACUUGAAUUAUUAGGAAGUAACUAGAAUAUGUAGUGUAGCGGUGAAAUGCUUAGAGAUUACAUGGAAUACCAAUUGCGAAGGCAGGUUACUACUAAUUGAUUGACGCUGAUGGACGAAAGCGUGGGUAGCGAAC